UACGUAGGGUGCAAGCGUUGUCCGGAAUUAUUGGGCGUAAAGAGCUCGUAGGCGGCUUGUCGCGUCGGAUGUGAAAGCCCGGGGCUUAACCCCGGGACUGCAUUCGAUACGGGCAGGCUAGAGUUCGGUAGGGGAGAUCGGAAUUCCUGGUGUAGCGGUGAAAUGCGCAGAUAUCAGGAGGAACACCGGUGGCGAAGGCGGAUCUCUGGGCCGAUACUGACGCUGAGGAGCGAAAGCGUGGGGAGCGAACAGG
rnacentral:rRNA from 1 species